GGCCCUGUAGUGAAGUUCAUGUUGAGUUGCAAGCUCGAUGAUGUACAUUGAGAGUGUACCGGGGUCU
rnacentral:tRNA from 1 species